GUCCUCGUGGAGUAGUAAAGCUCAUUCCAUGCAUUGCCGAAGGUCCAUUGUAAAUGUUCGGAGAGGCCGGUGGUUCGAACCCACCCGAGGACG